GAUGAACGCUGGCGGCGUGCCUAAUACAUGCAAGUCGAGCGAACAGACGAGGAACUUGCUUCUCUGAUGUUAGCGGCGGACGGGUGAGUAACACGUGGAUAACCUACCUAUAAGACUGGGAUAACUUCGGGAAACCGGAGCUAAUACCGGAUGAUCUUUUGAACCGCAUGGUUCAAAAGUGAAAGACGGUCUUGCUGUCACUUAUAGAUGGAUCCGCGCUGCAUUAGCUAGUUGGUAAGGUAACGGCUUACCAAGGCAACGAUGCAUAGCCGACCUGAGAGGGUGAUCGGCCACACGGGAACGGAGACACGGUCCAGACUCCUACGGGAGGCAGCAGUAGGGAAUCUUCCGCAAUGGGCGAAAGCCUGACGGAGCAACGCCGCGUGAGUGAUGAAGGUCUUCGGAUCGUAAAACUCUGUUAUUAGGGAAGAACAUAUGUGUAAGUAACUGUGCACGGCUUGACGGUACCUAAUCAGAAAGCCACGGCUAACUACGUG
rnacentral:rRNA from 1 species